UUAAGUUCAGCGGGUAGUCCUACCUGAUUUGAGGUCGAAUAGAUAAGGCUGGGAGCCUGCGCUCGCGCCGAUCAAGCGAGGGGUCUACAACGCUCGGUCGUCGCGGGCAGCAGAGGCGCUCCGCAUGUAUUUCGGCCAGGCCGACGACGAGCGCCGGCCAAGGCCACGGUCCACGGCCGCGCAGGUGAGAACCCGGGGCG
rnacentral:misc_RNA from 1 species